rnacentral:rRNA from 1 species
AAUCAACGCUGGCGGCGUGCCUCAGACAUGCAAGUCGAACGCGAAAGUUCCCUUCGGGGGGAUGAGUAGAGUGGCGCACGGGUGAGUAACACGUAGGUAAUCUACCUUUGGAUGGGGAAUAACAACCGGAAACGGUUGCUAAUACCGCAUAAUGCAGCGGCACCUAAUGGUGACAGUUGUUAAAGCGGGGGGAUCGAAAGACCUCGCGUCUGAAGAGGAGCCUGCGGCGGAUUAGCAGUUGGUAAGGUAACGGCUUACCAAGGCGACGAUCCGUAGCCGGCCUGAGAGGGCGGUCGGCCACACUGACACUGACAUACGGGUCAGACUCCUACGGGAGGCAGCAGUCGGGAA